GAUUCCGUAGUGUCGUGGUUAUCACGUGGUUAUCACGUGCGCCUCACACGCGCAAGGUCCCCGGUUCGAGCCCGGGCGGAUUCA